CAGCCGCCACGGUAAUACGAGGGGUGCAAGCGUUACUCGGAAUUACUGGGCGUAAAGCGUGCGUAGGUGGUGGUUUAAGUCCGUUGUGAAAGCCCUGGGCUCAACCUGGGAAUUGCAGUGGAUACUGGGUCACUAGAGUGUGGUAGAGGAUAGUGGAAUUUCCGGUGUAGCAGUGAAAUGCGUAGAGAUCGGAAGGAACAUCUGUGGCGAAGGCGACUAUCUGGGCCAACACUGACACUGAGGCACGAAAGCGUGGGGAGCAAACAGGAUUAGAUACCCCCGUAGUCCCUGUCUCUUAUAC
rnacentral:rRNA from 1 species